GAUGAACGCUGGCGGCGUGCCUAAUACAUGCAAGUCGAGCGAACGGACGAGAAGCUUGCUUCUCUGAUGUUAGCGGCGGACGGGUGGGUAACACGUGGAUAACCUACCUAUAAGACUGGGAUAACUUCGGGAAACCGUAGCUAAUACCGGAUAAUAUUUUGAACCGCAUGGUUCAAAAGUGAAAGACGGUCUUGCUGUCACUUAUAGAUGGAUCCGCGCUGCAUUAGCUAGUUGGUAAGGUAACGGCUUACCAAGGCAACGAUGCAUAGCCGACCUGAGAGGGUGAUCGGCCACACUGGAACUGAGACACGGUCCAGACUCCUACGGGAGGCAGCAGUAGGGAAUCUUCCGCAAUGGGCGAAAGCCUGACGGAGCAACGCCGCGUGAGUGAUGAAGGUCUUCCGAUCGUAAAACUCUGUUAUUAGGGAAGAACAUAUGUGUAAGUAACUGUGCACAUCUUGACGGUACCUAAUCAGAAAGCCACGGCUAACUACGUG
rnacentral:rRNA from 1 species